AUGCGGUGCUGCUUGCUACAACCCCAGCAGCCGCCAUUGCUGGAGAUGGCGGUCACAGGAGCUGCAACCGGCAACGGCCGACGCUGGAGCGAGGUGCGUUUCUGGUGGCCUAGAGUCGACAUGCUACGUCCAGCAGAUUUUGAGCAUGUCGAUUGUAGCUCAAAAUCUGCUGGUCGUAGCAUGUUAAAAUUUGGUGGUGUAGAAUCAACAUGCUACGACGCUGGUCGACCAGCAAAUUUUGCAGCAGAUUUUGAGCGGUGGCGUAGAGUCGACAUGCUACAAUCGGCCUAUCACCUUAAGUUGUUGUUAAGUCUGCUGGUCGUAGCAUGUCACCUUUCGGCAAAUUUUUAUCAGGAAACAUUUAUUAUGUUUGAGAUACUUUCUACUUCCAGCAAAUUUUUAUCAGGAAACAUUUGUAUAGAGCUGACCGGCCCAACUUUGCGUCGACCGCUCGUGUGUCGCUCAAUCUGA
rnacentral:rRNA from 1 species